AUGAAGAGAGACUUGCAGAAUUACUACAGCGACCUUCGGGAUAAAAUUAGAAAUGCGGAUGCCCAAAUGUUUGUCGCCCAGCUAGCUAGAAAGCAGGAAGUAAACUCAGCAUUUUUCUAUGAUUUUGACGUGAAUGAUGAGGGGAAGUUGAAGUAUGUGUUCUGGGCAGAUGCCACAAGCAGGAAGAACUACAGUCUCUUUGGUGAUGUGGUAUCUUUUGAUUCUACGUACACCACUAAUCAGUACAACAUGAUCUUUGCACCAUUUACAGGGGUCAAUCAUCACUUGCAAAGUAUAUUCUUUGGUGCUGCCUUCUUAGCAAAUGAGAAGAAUGAAUCGUAUAUUUGGUUAUUUCAGACCUUCCUAAAAGCAAUGGGAGGGGUAGCACCUAGGCUUAUCAUAACAGAUGAAGCUGGUAGCAUGAAGAUUGCUAUUGACGAAGUUCUUCCAACCACUGUGCAUAGGUUGUGCAUGUGGCAUAUAAUGGAAAAGGUGCCUGAAAAAGUUGGACCUUUGAUUAGAGAGGAUCCAGAAUUUUGGAAGAGGCUGAACUCAUGUGUUUGGGGUUCAGAAACUACAACUGAGUUUGAGUCACAAUGGAAUUCCAUCAUUACAGAUUUCGGGUUGGAAGAAAAUGAGUGGUUUGCUAAGAGGUUUAAUAUUCGAGAGACUUGGAUACCAUCAUACUUUAUGGACAUAUCUCUAGCAGGCAUUCUCAGAACCACUUCAAGGUCAGAAAGUGCAAAUUCUUUUUUCAACCGUUUCAUUCACCGAAGGCUCGCUUUUGUUGAGUUUUGGCUUAGGUUUGACACAGCUCUAGAAUGCCAACGUGAGGAAGAAUUGAUGGCAGACAAUAGAAGUAUACAUACCACCCCAUAA
rnacentral:rRNA from 1 species